rnacentral:rRNA from 1 species
CGGAAUGGGUGAGUAACACGUGAUUUAAUCUACCUUUUAGAUUGGAAUACCCAUUGGAAACAAUGGCUAAUGCCGGAUACGCAUGGAACCGCAUGGUUCCGUUGUGAAAGGCGCUGUAAGGCGCCACUAAAAGAUGAGGGUGCGGAACAUUAGUUAGUUGGUGAGGUAAUGGCCCACCAAGACUAUGAUGUUUAGCCGGGUCGAGAGACUGAACGGCCACAUUGGGACUGAGAUACGGCCCAAACUCCUACGGAGGCAGCAGGA